rnacentral:rRNA from 1 species
UACAGAGGGUGCGAGCGUUGUCCGGAAUCACUGGGCGUAAAGGGCGCGUAGGUGGCGCGACAAGUCAGUGGUGAAAGCUCGACGCUCAACGUCGAGUCGGCCACUGAUACUGUUGGGCUUGAGCACUGUAGAGGCUAAUGGAAUUCCGGGUGUAGCGGUGGAAUGCGUAGAGAUCCGGAAGAACACCGGUGGCGAAGGCGGUUAGCUGGGCAGUUGCUGACACUGAGGCGCGACAGCGUGGGGAGCAAACAGGG